rnacentral:rRNA from 1 species
CCAAGGAGAAUAACAUGUGCGCGAGUCAUUGGGCGUAACGAAACCCAAAGGCGUAGUGAAAGUAAAUGUUUGACUUGUUCAGACUAAGGUGAGAUCCUGCCGUUUCUCACGCGCGGUACCACCAAGCAUCGAGCGGCAGGCGCAUCACCGGCCCGUCCCAUGACUUAGGCAGUCGAUUUAUUGAUUGUACAGUUGGGGCGGAGCAAGAGCGCACACGUUGUGACCCGAAAGAUGGUGAACUAUGCUUGUGCAGGUUGAAGCCAGAGGAAACUCUGGUGGAGGAUCGCAGCGAUUCUGACGUGCAAAUCGAUCGUCAGACAUGAGUAUAGGGGCGAAAGACUAAUCGAACCAUCUG